rnacentral:rRNA from 1 species
CUCCAGACUCCUACGGGAGGCAGCAGUGAGGAAUAUUGGUCAAUGGGCGAGAGCCUGAACCAGCCAAGUCGCGUGAAGGAUGACGGCCCUACGGGUUGUAAACUUCUUUUGUCAGGGAGCAAUUGGGUCCACGCGUGGGCUUAGCGAGAGUACCUGAAGAAAAAGCAUCGGCUAACUCCGUGCCAGCAGCCGCGGUAAUACGGAGGAUGCGAGCGUUAUCCGGAUUUAUUGGGUUUAAAGGGAGCGUAGGUGGAUUGUUAAGUCAGUUGUGAAAGUUUGCGGCUCAACCGUAAAAUUGCAGUUGAAACUGGCAGUCUUGAGUACAGUAGAGGUGGGCGGAAUUCGUGGUGUAGCGGUGAAAUGCUUAGAUAUCACGAAGAACCCCGAUUGCGAAGGCAGCAUACCGGCGCUCAACUGACGCUGAGGCACGAAAGUGCGGGUAUCGAACAGGAUUAGAUACCCGGGUAC